GAGUCUUGCUCUUGUCGCCCAAGCUGGAGUGCAGUGGCACAAUCUCGGCUCACUACAACCUCCACCUCCCUGGUUCAAGCGAUUCUCCUCCCUCAGCCUCCUGAGUAGCUGGGAUUACAGGCAUGCACCACCACGUCCGGAUAAUUUUUAUAUUUUUCCUGGAGAUGGGGUUUCACCACGUUGGCCAGGCUGGUCUCAAAUUCCUGAUCUCGUGAUCCACCCACCUCAGCCUCCCAAAGUUCCGGGAUUACAGGCGUGAGCUACCGCGCCCGGCAAGUAUUUUGUUUUUAAAUUCAGCCUGCUCCUGGAGGUUUUUACUUGGCUUAAAAAUAACAUGAGACUUGAAAGUUCAUUGUCUUAAAAAAUAAAGAAGAAAAGACAAAAUUGUGGCUAAUGGAGGUGCAACCUCCAGACACAAAACUUGGAUUGAUGAUGGUAAAAUCUGAGAGCCUGUGUUGGAAGACAGCAGCCAGGAGCGAGAUGUUGCCCUCUUUAGAUUUCACAUCUUUGCUUCAGUGGUUUUCUUUAAAGGCAAGCAAAGAUGGAGUCUCACUCUGUUCCCCAGGCUUGAGUGCAGUGGUGCAAUCUCGGCUCACUGCAAGCUCCGCCUCCCAGGUUCGUGCCAUUCUCCUGCCUCAGCCUACCGGAGUAGCUGGGACUACAGGUGCCCGCCACCACGCCCGGCUAAUUUUCUGUAUUUUUAGUAGAGACAGUGUUUCACUGUGUUUGCCAGGAUGGUCUCAAUCUCCUGACCUUGUGAUCCGCCUGCCUUGGCCUCCCAAAGUGCUGGGAUUACAGGCAUGAGCCACCGUCCCUGGCCUAAAGUCGUGUCUUGAGUUGGGGAGCAUGUUAGGCCAUUCUUGCAUUGCUAUAAAGAAAUACCUGAGAUUGGGUAAUUUAUAAAGAAAGAGGUUGAUUUGGCUUACGGUUCUGCAGGCUGUACUGGAAGCAUGGCCCUGGCAUGUGCUCGGCUUCUGGGGAGGCCUCAGGGAGCUUUUGCUCAUGGUGGAAGAUGAAGUGAUAACAGGAGUCUCACAUGGUGGGAGCAGGAGCAAGAGAUGGGGGUCGGGGAGUAGAUGCCACACACACUUGACAACAACCACAUCUCGGGAGAACUCACUACCAAGAAAACUGCACCAAGCCAUGGAGGAUCCGUCCCCAUGACCCAAACGUCUCCCACCAGGCCCCACCUCCAACACUGGGGAUAAUUCAAUAUGAGACUUGGGUGGGGACAAAUAUCCUAACUAUAUCGGGAGUAUCCCUCUUCUGCUUUUCUAUAUAAAUAUUUCUGAAGGGUAAGAAAUACCUAUUCUUUGAAUGUUUCAUGGAAAUUUCCCCUAAAUCCACCUGGGUGUCAAGUUUUUAAAAACGGAGCUGAAAUUCAUCUAACAGAAUGAACCAUGUUGAAGCAGACUGUUCAGGGGCACUUAGUACAUUCAUAAUGUGCAGUCCUCACUGCUGUCCAGCUCCGUAAUACUUUCAUCCCUCAGAGUAGAUCCGGUGCUCAUUAGAAGUCAUCCUCACUCCCCAGUCCUCUCUCCCACAGCCUCUGACAAACCCUAUUUGACCUUCUACCUCUAUGGAUUUACCUAUAAUGGAUGUUUCAUGUAAAUGGAAUCAUAUAACAUAAUGGAGUAAUAUUGUAUGGAUGUACCACAUUUUGUUUAUCCAUUUAUCCACUGAUAGACAUUUGGCUUUGUCUUCUGGCUAUUGUGAAUACCACUGCUAUGAGCAUUCAUGUACAACCAUUUAUUUCACUACCUGUUCGCAAUUCUUUUUUCUUUUUUUUUCUUUCUUUUUUUUUUUUUUUUUUUUUGAGAUGGAGUCUUGCUUUGUUUCCCAGGCUGGAGUGCAGUGACACAAUCUCAGCUCACUGCAACCUCUGCCUCCUGGAUUCAAGUGAUUCUCCUGCCUCAGCCUCCCUAGUAGCUGGGAUUACAGGUGCACGCCACCAUGCCCAGCUAAUUUUUGUAUUUUUAGUAGAGACAGGGUUUCACCAUGUUGGCCAGGCUGGUCUCAAACUUCUGAUGUCAGGUGAUCCACCUGCCUCGGCCUCCUAAAGUGCUGGGAUUACA
rnacentral:lncRNA from 1 species